rnacentral:rRNA from 1 species
UACAGAGGUCUCAAGCGUUGUUCGGAUUCAUUGGGCGUAAAGGGUGUGUAGGUGGCGCCGUAAGUCGGGUGUGAAAUUUCGGAGCUUAACUCCGAAACUGCAUUCGAUACUGCGGUGCUUGAGGACUGGAGAGGAGACUGGAAUUCAUGGUGUAGCAGUGAAAUGCGUAGAGAUCAUGAGGAAGACCAGUGGCGAAGGCGGGUCUCUGGACAGUUCCUGACACUGAGACACGAAGGCCAGGGGAGUAAACGGG